CAAAGAAAUUCGCUCAGAGAUGGGCUCGCGUCUGAUUAGAUAGUUGGUGAGGUAACGGCUCACCAAGUCGACGAUCAGUAGCCGGACUGAGAGGUUGAACGGCCACAUUGGGACUGAGACACGGCCCAGACUCCUACGGGAGGCAGCAGUGGGGAAUAUUGCACAAUGGGGGAAACCCUGAUGCAGCGAUGCCGCGUGGAGGAAGAAGGUUUUCGGAUUGUAAACUCCUUUUAUCAGGGACGAUAAUGACGGUACCUGAAGAAAAAGCUCCGGCUAACUACGUGCCAGCAGCCGCGGUAAUACGUAGGGAGCGAGCGUUGUCCGGAAUUACUGGGUGUAAAGGGAGCGUAGGCGGGACGGCAAGUCAGAUGUGAAAACUGAGGGCUCAACCUUCAGACUGCAUUUGAAACUGCUGUUCUUGAGUGAAGUAGAGGUAAGCGGAAUUCCUAGUGUAGCGGUGAAAUGCGUAGAUAUUAGGAGGAACAUCGGUGGCGAAGGCGGCUUACUGGGCUUUUACUGACGCUGAGGCUCGAAAGCGUGGGGAGCAAACAGGAUUAGAUGCCCUGGUAGUCCACGCUGUAAACGAUGAUUACUAGGUGUGGGGGGACUGACCCCUUCC
rnacentral:rRNA from 1 species